ACAUCCAGAGAACUUAGCAGAGAUGCUUUGGUGCCUUCGGGAACUCUGAGACAGGUGCUGCAUGGCUGUCGUCAGCUCGUGUUGUGAAAUGUUGGGUUAAGUCCCGNAACGAGCGCAACCCUUAUCCUUUGUUGCCAGCGGCUCGGCCGGGAACUCAAAGGAGACUGCCGGUGAUAAACCGGAGGAAGGUGGGGAUGACGUCAAGUCAUCAUGGCCCUUACGGCCAGGGCUACACACGUGCUACAAUGGCGCAUACAAAGAGAAGCGACCUCGCGAGAGCAAGCGGACCUCAUAAAGUGCGUCGUAGUCCGGAUUGGAGUCUGCAACUCGACUCCAUGAAGUCGGAAUCGCUAGUAAUCGUAGAUCAGAAUGCUACGGUCGAAUACGUUCCCGGGCCUUGUACACACCGCCCGUCACACCAUGGGAGUGGGUUGCAAAAGAAGUAGGUAGCUUAACCUUCGGGAGGGCGCUUACCACUUUGUGAUUCAUGACUGGGGUGAAGUCGUAACAAGGUAGGCGUAGACGU
rnacentral:rRNA from 1 species